AUUGAACGCUGGCGGCAUGCCUUACACAUGCAAGUCGAACGGCCGCGCGGACUUCGGUCUGGCGGCGAGUGACGAACGGGUGAGUAAUACAUCGGAACGUACCCUGUUGUGGGGGCUAACUAGUCGAAAGAUUAGCUAAUACCGCAUACGACCUGAGGGUGAACGUGGGGGACCAGAAACGGCCUCAUGCAGCGGGAGCGGCCGAUGUCUGAUUCGCUAGUUGGUGGGGUAAAGGCCCACCAAGGCGACGAUCAGUAGCUGGUCUGAGAGGAUGAUCAGCCACACUGGGACUGAGACACGGCCCAGACUCCUACGGGAGGCAGCAGUGGGGAAUUUUGGACAAUGGGGGCAACCCUGAUCCAGCAAUGCCGCGUGUGUGAAGAAGGCCUUCGGGUUGUAAAGCACUUUUGUCCGGAAAGAAAUCGCGCUGGUUAAUACCUGGCGUGCAUGACGGUACCGGAAGAAUAAGCACCGGCUAACUACGUG
rnacentral:rRNA from 1 species